CCUACGGGAGGCAGCAGUAGGGAAUAUUGGGCAAUGGAGGCAACUCUGACCCAGCCAUGCCGCGUGCAGGAUGAAGGCGUUAUGCGUUGUAAACUGCUUUUAUAUAGGAAGAAAUAGACCUUGCGAGGUAAGUUGACGGUACUAUAUGAAUAAGCACCGGCUAACUCCGUGCCAGCAGCCGCGGUAAUACGGAGGGUGCAAGCGUUGUCCGGAUUUAUUGGGUUUAAACGGGUGCGUAGGCGGUUUAUUAAGUCAGUGGUGAAAGACGGUCGCUCAACGAUUGCAGUGCCAUUGAUACUGGUAGACUUGAGUGGGAUUGAGGUAGCUGGAAUGGAUAGUGUAGCGGUGAAAUGCAUAGAUAUUAUCCAGAACACCAAUUGCGUAGGCAAGUUACUAAGUCUCAACUGACGCUGAGGCACGAAAGUGUGGGUAUCAAACAGGAUUAGAUACCCUGGUAGUCCACACUGUAAACCGAUGAUAACUAACUGUUGGCUUUCGGGUCAGUGGUACAGAGAAACUCGUUAAGUUAUCCACCUGGGGAGUACGCCGGNAACGGUGAAACUCAAAUGAAUUGACCGGNNGAGAGAGCGACGACGACGACGAGGGAGGAGG
rnacentral:rRNA from 1 species